GGACAGUGAGGUUCCAGGCAUCGUCAGAGAGUCCCGCGGCCCUGUGUGAGGAGAUUGUGGUGCCAGAGACCACCUUUGAGGCGGAGUCAGAGGGAGGGGAGGAGGACACGGAGAGACAGAUGGAGCUAGAGGCCACAGAGGAGACCCUGUCCGUGGUCUAUGAGUUCGGCACCUAUGACAUCAUCGAACCCCUGGAGGAGGAGACGGAGACCAUUAACUCUACGGAAAUACCUAUCAGCAUUAUCCCCAAGUACAACGCCGCCCUGACCAAACUCCGAGACCAGAACACUCUCCCGGAAGCGGAGAUCGUCCAAGCCACGGAGUCCGAGGCAGAGAAA